rnacentral:rRNA from 1 species
AUUGAACGCUGGCGGCAGGCCUAACACAUGCAAGUCGAACGAGUGGCGGACGGGUGAGUAAUGUCUGGGAAACUGCCCGCUGGAGGGGGCUAACUACUGGAAACGGUAGCUAUACCGCAUACCAUCGGAUGUGCCCAGAUGGGAUUCGCUAGUAGUUGGGGUAACGGGUCACCUAGGCGACGAUCCCUAGCUGGUCUGAGAGGAUGACCAGCGACACGGUAAACGAGACACGGUCCAGACUCCUACGGGAGGCAGAAGUGGGAAAGAUUGCAAAAGGGGGGCAAGCCUGAUGCAGCCAUGCCGCGUGUAUGAAGAAGGCCUUCGGGGUGUAAGGUACUUUCAGCGAGGAGGGGUUAGUCGCAGAAGAAGAACCGGGUAACGCCGUGCCAGCAGCCGCGGGAAUAC